rnacentral:rRNA from 1 species
GAUGAACGCUAGCGGCAGGCUUAAUACAUGCAAGUCGAGGGGCAGCAUGAGUAGCAAUACUUGAUGGCGACCGGCAAACGGGUGCGGAACACGUACACAACCUUCCUUUAAGUGGGGAAUAGCCCAGAGAAAUUUGGAUUAAUACCCCGUAACAUAUAGUUGUGGCAUCACAAUUAUAUUAUAGGUUUACCGCUUAAAGAUGGGUGUGCGGCUGAUUAGAUGGUUGGCGGGGUAAUGGCCCACCAAGUCUACGAUCAGUAGCUGAUGUGAGAGCAUGAUCAGCCACACGGGCACUGAGACACGGGCCCGACUCCUACGGGAGGCAGCAGUAAGGAAUAUUGGACAAUGGGCGAAAGCCUGAUCCAGCCAUGCCGCGUGAAGGAUUAAGGUCCUCUGGAUUGUAAACUUCUUUUAUGUGGGACGAAAAAAGGGCAUUCUUGCUCACUUGACGGUACCAUAUGAAUAAGCACCGGCUAACUCCGUG